rnacentral:rRNA from 1 species
GACGAACGCUGGCGGCGUGCUUAACACAUGCAAGUCGAACGGAAAGGCCCUGCUUUUGUGGGGUGCCCGAGUGGCGAACGGGUGAGUAACACGUGAGUAACCUGCCCUUGACUUUGGGAUAACUUCAGGAAACUGGGGCUAAUACCGGAUAGGAGCUCCUGCUGCAUGGUGGGGGUUGGAAAGUUUCGGCGGUUGGGGAUGGACUCGCGGCUUAUCAGCUUGUUGGUGGGGUAGUGGCUUACCAAGGCUUUGACGGGUAGCCGGCCUGAGAGGGUGACCGGCCACAUUGGGACUGAGGUACGGACCAGACUCCUACGGGAGGCAGCAGUGGGGAAUAUUGCACAAUGGGCGGAAGCCUGAUGCAGAAACGCCGCGUGCGGGAUGACGGCCUUCGGGUUGUAAACCGCUUUCGCCUGUGACGAAGCGUGAGUGACGGUAAUGGGUAAAGAAGCACCGGCUAACUACGUG